CCUCACCUGAAUGCGUGACUCUUCAAUCUCAGGACUCGCAUCAUUAAUGGAAUGCCGUCCUAAGGUUGUUGAGUUCUGCGUUUCUGGGC
rnacentral:pre_miRNA from 10 species